CAGUAGCGUAUAUUAAAGUUGUUGCAGUUAAAAAGCUCGUAGUUGGAUUUCUGGCAAGUCGAAGCUAGCCUGGCUCCUAGAGUCUCGUGCUGGAUCUCGUCUGCCAUCCUUCCAGAGAACGACAAUACCAUUCACUUGGCCGUUGUUGCAAUCUGGAACUUUUACUUUGAAAAAUUAGAGUGUUCAAAGCAGGCGUUACGCUAUGAAUACAUUAGCAUGGAAUAAUAAUUUAGGACUUUGGUUCUAUUUUGUUGGUUCUAGGACCGAAGUAAUGAUUGAUAGGGAUAGUUGGGGGUGGCUAGUAUUCAGCGGCCAGAGGUGAAAUUCUUGGAUUCGCUGAAGACUAACUUAUGCGAAAGCAUUCACCAAGGAUGUCUUCUUUAAUCAAGAACGAAAGUUGGGGAUCGAAGAUGAUCAGAUACCAU
rnacentral:rRNA from 1 species